rnacentral:pre_miRNA from 1 species
AGAAUAUAAGAACCCGUUUCUUAACUUUUAACUAAAAAAACUAAGAACCGGUUCUUAGCUUUUUUAGUUAAAAAUUAAGAAACGUGUUAUAUAUUCC